GACGAACGCUGGCGGCGUGCUUAACACAUGCAAGUCGAGCGGAGCGGCGAACGGGUGAGUAACGCGUGAGUAACUGCCCUCCUCUCUGGGAUAACAGAUGGAAACGGCUGCUAAUACCGGAUAGCGGGGGAUGACGCGCGUCCUAUGGGCUUGUUGGUGGGGUAGUGGCCUACGACGGCGACGACGGGUACCCGGCCUGAGAGGGCGAACGGCCACAUUGGGCUACGAUACGGCCCAAUCUCCAACGGGGGGCAGCAGUGGGGAAUAUUGCGCAAUGGGGGAACCCCUGAGGCAGCAGCGCCGCGUGCGGGAUGACGGCCUACGGGUUGUAAACCGCUUUCAGCCAUGACGCGGUAGUGGCAGAAGAAGCACCGGCUAACUACGUGCCAGCAGCCGCGGUAAUUC
rnacentral:rRNA from 1 species